rnacentral:rRNA from 1 species
UACGUAGGGUGCAAGCGUUGUUCGGAAUCAUUGGGCGUAAAGAGCUCGUAGGCGGUCUGUCGCGUCUGCUGUGAAAACUCAGGGCUUAACCCUGAGCUUGCAGUGGGUACGGGGCAGACUAGAGUGCGGUAGGGGAGACUGGAAUUCCUGGUGUAGCGGUGAAAUGCGCAGAUAUCAGGAGGAACACCGGUGGCGAAGGCGGGGUCUCUGGGCCGUAACUGACGCUGGAGGAG